GAUGAAGAACGUAGCGAAAUGCUAUAAGUAAUGUGAAUUGCAGAAUUCAGUGAAUCAUCGAAUCUUUGAACGCACAUUGCGCCCGCCAGUAUUCUGGCGGGCAUGCCUGUUCGAGCGUCAUUUCAACCCUCAAGCCCAGCUUGGUGUUGGGGAUCGGCACAGGCGCCCUCGGGCGCCCGCCGUCCCCUAAAUCUAGUGGCGGUCCCGCUGCAGCCUCCUCUGCGUAGUAGUUUUCUCCUCGCAAGGGCAGCUCGGUGGCGACCUCGCCGUAAAACCCCCAACUUCUGAAAGGUUGACCUCGAAUCAGGUAGGAAUACCCGCUGAACUUAAGCAUAUCAAUAAGCGGAGGA
rnacentral:misc_RNA from 1 species